ensembl:snRNA U4 U4 spliceosomal RNA
AGCUUUGCGCAGUGGCAGUAUCGUAGCCAAUGAGGUUUAUCCGAGGCGCAAUUAUUGCUAAUUGAAAACUUUUCCCAAUACCCCGCCAUGAUGACUUGAAAUAUAGUCGGCAUUGGCAAUUUUUGACAGUCUCUACGGAGA